CAUUGAGGCAGCCAGCGCAGGGGCUUCUGCUGAGGGGGCAGGCGGAGCUUGAGGAAACCGCAGAUAAGUUUUUUUCUCUUUGAAAGAUAGAGAUUAAUACAACUACUUAAAAAAUAUAGUCAAUAGGUUACUAAGAUAUUGCUUAGCGUUAAGUUUUUAACGUAAUUUUAAUAGCUUAAGAUUUUAAGAGAAAAUAUGAAGACUUAGAAGAGUAGCAUGAGGAAGGAAAAGAUAAAAGGUUUCUAAAACAUGACGGAGGUUGAGAUGAAGCUUCUUCAUGGAGUAAAAAAUGUAUUUAAAAGAAAAUUGAGAGAAAGGACUACAGAGCCCCGAAUUAAUACCAAUAGAAGGGCAAUGCUUUUAGAUUAAAAUGAAGGUGACUUAAACAGCUUAAAGUUUAGUUUAAAAGUUGUAGGUGAUUAAAAUAAUUUGAAGGCGAUCUUUUAAAAAGAGAUUAAACCGAAGGUGAUUAAAAGACCUUGAAAUCCAUGACGCAGGGAGAAUUGCGUCAUUUAAAGCCUAGUUAACGCAUUUACUAAACGCAGACGAAAAUGGAAAGAUUAAUUGGGAGUGGUAGGAUGAAACAAUUUGGAGAAGAUAGAAGUUUGAAGUGGAAAACUGGAAGACAGAAGUACGGGAAGGCGAAGAAAAGAAUAGAGAAGAUAGGGAAAUUAGAAGAUAAAAACAUACUUUUAGAAGAAAAAAGAUAAAUUUAAACCUGAAAAGUAGGAAGCAGAAGAAAAAAGACAAGCUAGGAAACAAAAAGCUAAGGGCAAAAUGUACAAACUUAGAAGAAAAUUGGAAGAUAGAAACAAGAUAGAAAAUGAAAAUAUUGUCAAGAGUUUCAGAUAGAAAAUGAAAAACAAGCUAAGACAAGUAUUGGAGAAGUAUAGAAGAUAGAAAAAUAUAAAGCCAAAAAUUGGAUAAAAUAGCACUGAAAAAAUGAGGAAAUUAUUGGUAACCAAUUUAUUUUAAAAGCCCAUCAAUUUAAUUUCUGGUGGUGCAGAAGUUAGAAGGUAAAGCUUGAGAAGAUGAGGGUGUUUACGUAGACCAGAACCAAUUUAGAAGAAUACUUGAAGCUAGAAGGGGAAGUUGGUUAAAAAUCACAUCAAAAAGCUACUAAAAGGACUGGUGUAAUUUAAAAAAAACUAAGGCAGAAGGCUUUUGGAAGAGUUAGAAGAAUUUGGAAGGCCUUAAAUAUAGUAGCUUAGUUUGAAAAAUGUGAAGGACUUUCGUAACGGAAGUAAUUCAAGAUCAAGAGUAAUUACCAACUUAAUGUUUUUGCAUUGGACUUUGAGUUAAGAUUAUUUUUUAAAUCCUGAGGACUAGCAUUAAUUGACAGCUGACCCAGGUGCUACACAGAAGUGGAUUCAGUGAAUCUAGGAAGACAGCAGCAGACAGGAUUCCAGGAACCAGUGUUUGAUGAAGCUAGGACUGAGGAGCAAGCGAGCAAGCAGCAGUUCGUGGUGAAGAUAGGAAAAGAGUCCAGGAGCCAGUGCGAUUUGGUGAAGGAAGCUAGGAAGAAGGAAGGAGCGCUAACGAUUUGGUGGUGAAGCUAGGAAAAAGGAUUCCAGGAAGGAGCGAGUGCAAUUUGGUGAUGAAGGUAGCAGGCGGCUUGGCUUGGCAACCACACGGAGGAGGCGAGCAGGCGUUGUGCGUAGAGGAUCCUAGACCAGCAUGCCAGUGUGCCAAGGCCACAGGGAAAGCGAGUGAGGCAUUUCAUCCUUCAUGAAGCCAUUCAGGAUUUUGAAUUGCAUAUGAGUGCUUGGCUCUUCCUUCUGUUCUAACUUCACAGAGAAUGCAGUUGUCUUGACUUCAGGUCUGUCUGUUCUGUUGGCAAGUAAAUGCAGUACUGUUCUGAUCCCGCUGCUAUUAGAAUGCAUUGUGAAACGACUGGAGUAUGAUUAAAAGUUGUGUUCCCCAAUGCUUGGAGUAGUGAUUGUUGAAGGAAAAAAUCCAGCUGAG
rnacentral:lncRNA from 1 species